GACGAACGCUGGCGGCGUGCCUAAUACAUGCAAGUAGAACGCAGUUGCGAACGGGUGAGUAACGCGUAGGUAACCUGCCUCAUAGCGGGGGAUAACUAUUGGAAACGAUAGCUAAUACCGCAUACUGUGAGCUGGACCUGCGUUGUAUUAGCUAGUGGGGGGGGUAAAGGCUCACCAAGGCGACGAUACCUAGCCGACCUGAGAGGGUGAUCGGCCACACUGGGACUGAGACACGGCCCAGACUCCUACGGGAGGCAGCAGUGGGUAAUAUUGCACAAUGGGCGCAAGCCUGAUGCAGCCAUGCCGCGUGUAUGAAGAAGGCCUUCGGGUUGUAAAGUACUUUCAGCGGGGAGGCGUUACCAACAGAAUAAGCACCGGCUAACUUCGUGCCAGCCGCCGCGGUAAUAC
rnacentral:rRNA from 1 species